rnacentral:rRNA from 1 species
GAUCCUGGCUCAGGAUGAACGCUGGCGGCGUGCUUAACACAUGCAAGUCGAACGGGAAACUUUUCAUUGAAGCUUCGGCAGAUUUGGUCUGUUUCUAGUGGCGGACGGGUGAGUAACGCGUGGGUAACCUGCCUUAUACAGGGGGAUAACAACCAGAAAUGGUUGCUAAUACCGCAUAAGCGCACAGGACCGCAUGGUCCGGUGUGAAAAACUCCGGUGGUAUAAGAUGGACCCGCGUUGGAUUAGCUGGUUGG